rnacentral:lncRNA from 1 species
CAUCACUUGGAUCUUAUCUGGGGAGGGGUGAGAUUUUUUUCUGGAAGUCUCCCCCCGGCCCCGGUGGAGGAUUUGAGGCUGGGCUCCAAUCGAGGCGGAGGCUGCAGGGCCCGCGGGGCGCCCCCGCCCCGCGCACGCCUCCCCGGAGCCCUGGAAGGCGCAGCCCCGGGGGACCCCCCUGCACCCCGGGAGGUGGCAGCGGCGUAUUCUUCGGGGGUCCCUGGGCCAGCCGGGCGCGCGGGGAAGACGGCAGCUCUGAGUGCCUCCAGCAACUAGAAGAAGAGAGAAAGAAGUUCCCCCACAUUCUCCCUUCUGGUCCCGGGUCCAUCUCCCCUCAGAGCUCAGAACUGUUCACUGCCCGAAAAGUAAAAAGACACCAUCCACAGACACUGGUGGCUCAACAUGCCUUUUGCCCUCCGGGGGCAGAAUGUUGGAGAUCAGGCCUGGGAACAGCAGGGCAGCUGUGGCUGCUGUCAGCGUUUGCUCUGGGGGUUUGUCGGGGGAGGUGGGGAAAGUGGAACAAGUGUUACCUGUUUGACGAGGCAGGCGUAUUUCACCGUUCAGCCUGGUCCUUCCAGUGGGGCCUCUGGGAUCCUCACCUUGGCAGGGGGCCCUGGGCAGUCCUGGCUUGCUCACCUGCUCCUGAGACAGGCCACUUUCCCACUCUCUGCCUCGGUUUCCCUGUCUGCCAAGGGAGGGGCAGCACCCCAUGCUCUUGGCCUCAAAGGGUUCUUGGUUGUACCCAACAUUAUAAUGAGCUCAAGUGAUACGCAAGCUCUGAAGCUGCUUGGAAAAUGGGGAAGUCAAGUUAUUAAACAUGGGAGGUGUUGGUGCUAAUGUUUACUAAUACACACCUAACGUGCUGAGACAGUUCAGACAGGAGGGGAGACUGUCGCCCCACAGUGUAAGCACCGGUUUCUGGAAUCAGCCAGUCAGAACUCUGAGACUCUUUUGCUGUGUCACCCCAGGCAAGUGACUCAACCUCUCUGGGCCUCCAUUUCCUCACACAUGAAACCCACGUUUUGGAACAGAAGUUUGCCAAGUCUGAUAUGCACAUCUACUCAAUGAGUUUAAGUGGUACCUGGCUAAAGAUGGAAAUUAUUCUCAUAGGUAUUUCUUUGUACAGCUUAUCUCUAUUUAUGGCAAGCGGUUUGUUUUCGGUUUAGGGUAGGGAUAGACAGGCCCUUUUUUAUACCAAUUUAUGCAGGUAAAGAUAGAUGAGUUGCUGGAAAGAAAAGCAUUAAGCAAAUAAUAAUACAGGUGGCCUGAGGAUGGGGCAGAAAUCAAGAUGCCAGUUUGCAAAGUUUCAUAGGUCGGCUUACUUAAGAAUUCUUGUUUGUCUUGGGAUUUUUGCAUCCACAUAGUUGGCGUGGGGAGGAGAUGGGUGGGUUGCUAAUUCAAAUCUCUGGAGGGCUCCACCAUGGCAGUCUGAGUGUCACAAGUCUUCCCUUCUCGGGGGGAUGGGAGGGGGCCCACCUCUCUGCUCACCGACGCCAGGGAGACCCCUCAGACCUCCAGCCCUGCACCGACCCCUAGCUUUGACUUGUCUCAUUUUAGGAUCACGAUGACCCAGUGCCCUCCUUCCUGGCCAGGGCACCUCUCUGGGCCUCAGUUUUCUCAGUGAAAUGGGGAGAAUAACAAACUCUGUCCCAUAGCUGUGUGUGAAGAUGGAGGGGUUAACAGGGCUCCAUCGGGCGCUGAUCCUUCACAAACAGCACCCACUCGGAGGGCAGUGGGCCCCAGCGGCGCUGGACACGCGGGGGGCGCUCCUUCCACAGGCCACCCUGCGCCACCCGGCACCAGCUCCCUGCCCACCCCCUGGGAGGGUGGCUUUGCAGGGAAACAGCAGGCAGCCAGCAGGGGCGGACUCUGGUUUCACUUUCUGCUGUGUCAUGGAGUGGGGGGUGGCAUCGGGGCCCAGCUGGCCAGCUGGGGCGGGCACCGAGAGGCCAGCAGACAGCUGCUGGCCCAGCUGCCAGAGCACAAGCCGCGCCCCCCUGCAGCCUGCCAGGGUGGGGGCUGGGUCCUCGGGUGCCCCUUAAGGGCCUCUCCUCCCGCACGGUGGGGAGAACCCCAGGCGAGAAAAGCCAGGAGCGGGUGAGAUCGUUUCUUGAGCUGUGGGAUCCCCCAAAAGCAACUUCUCAAGUCACGCAGCCUUGAAGUUCUGAGAAGUGCAGCUGUGGGUUCUGGAUCAGGGUGCGCUGGCUGGACACCUGCUCCCUGCCUCCCUUCACUGGGCACAUGGUGGGUGAGGGCCUACUGUGUGCUAAGCAGUGUGCCAGGUGCCGGAGGUACAGCAGGGAGCAGGACAGCCCCUGCCCUCAUGGGGCUCCCAGUUAAGUCUGGGAGAUGGACAAAAGAGCGAGCAAGAAAGAAUCCCGCGUUAUGGGGGAAAUUCCAGCCUGAACGUCUGGUGCUAGCAUCUCAGGGCAGGGGCGUGCCUGCGUAUGCACGUAUGUGUGUCAGCAACGUGUCACCUCCUGGGACACAACGGUAGGUUAAGAAUACAGACCCAGGGGCCAGAGGUCCUGUGUUUGAAUUUCCACUGACUGGUGCGUGACCUCAGGCAAGUGGUCUCUCCUCUUUGGGCCUCAGUUUCCCCGUUUGUAGGUGCAAGAAUGAGAGUAUUUACAUGGUAGGGCUGCGGCGAGGAUGAAAUAAACGAGCGUCCGUAGAGAAUGGAGGACAGCGCCUGGCAUCGACCGUGUGCUGUGUAAGUCUUAGCUGUUCUCUGAGAAUAAUAAAUGCGCGCUCUUGUAAGAUGAAAUGCGGCCGUCACGGCGGGCUGAGCACAGCGGGAGUGCUGUGGGGUCCAUCCCCUCUGCCAUGCGCUUGCCAUGCUUUCUCAGGAGCCACAACCACCCCUCCGAUGCCCUUACCAUCUUGUUCAGAUGAGGAAACUGAGGCUCAGGCAGAUAAAGAGGCCUGUCCCAGGUCCCCAGCUGGAAAGGAGUUGGGCCACCAUGCAGGGCCGGCUUUGCAGUGGUGGGCCCUGCACUUGGUUUAAUGCUCUGCUGUUGUCUUAAAUUCUCAAUCAUUUUGGAAACAGGAGCCCCGAGUUUUCAUUUUGCAAAUUAUGGAGCCCGUCCUCCCCAGACCGGACUUAGUCCAAAGCCAUCACUCUUAACGACUCCCAUCCAUAUGUCAUACAGCCGGCUCCAGAAUUUUCCAGAUCAUCGACACAGGGCUUAUGGAGGGACUGAAAUCCUGGGAAGAAUAUGAAGCCUUUCUCCUGGGCUCAACUGCCCAAGUGCCUGUUUGUCUGUGGCCCCAGUGGAAGGCAGGCGGGGAGGGCAGGGCUGGGACUCAUUCAUUGCCAUGUCCCCAGGGCCUUGCUUGUAUUAGCUGCUCAGUUAAUAGUUGUGAAAACAGGUGAACGGGAGGCUGCUGUCUCUCAGAAACAAACCUACGUAAAUGACCCCUUCCAGGAGAGCGGGUCGUCAGGGGUGCAGUGUACACUCUGGCCGGCCCAGCAGGCUUCCGGACAACCCCUGAAGGCGUGGAGAUGCACGGCUCUCUUCCCCAUGCCCCAAACCUGUGUGCCAACACCUUUAACCGAUUACUGUUUAACAGGUUCUGGUGGGGAGCCCGGAGACAACAGAAAUAUUUAAAGACAUGCGGGCCUGGAUUCCUGAGUGCCUGGUGUUAAGAAAGAUGCAGAGUUCAGCCAAAAGAAUACGCAGGUUGUAGUUCUGGGCCAGUUCAAGUCCCAGCCCAGGGGCGGGGGCACAGUUUCUUGGACUGUUAAAUGGUAGGGUUUGGGGGCCAGCCUGGUGGUGUAGUGGUUAAGUUUGAAUGCUCCGCUUCAGCAGGUGGGGUUUCCCAAUUCGGAUCCUGGGUGUGGACCUACACAGCAGUCAUCAAGCCGUGCUGUGGCAGCAUCCUACAUACAAAAAAUAGAGAAAGAUUGGCACAGAUGUUAGCUCAGGGCCAAUCUUCCUCACCAAAAAAAAAAAAAAAAAAAAUGAUAGGGUUUGGAUUAAAGGUCCUUUUUCCUCUGAAAUUAGAGUUCUUCUACAUUCUCAAAGCUCCAAAUGAUAAAUAUGACUAAGAAGCAAAGAAUCAUCUCAAAGCCUUUAAAAUAUUUAUAACAAUAAUAAACAUUUGUAUGUUUUUGCCUGCUGAUUUCACAGGCUGUAUCUCCAUUGCUUCAGAUAACCCUGUGAAGUAGGAAUUACCCUCAUUUUCUAACAACCAUCAUAACCACCAGCAUAUAUUGAAUGCUGUAUAUGGACUAGGCACUUGACACACAGGAAGUCAUUUUAGUUGCUCAAGUGACGUAUGAGGCAGGCACUGUUAUGAGCUACUGCCUACUUAAGAAACACGCCAAAGAGAGGAACUGACUUGUCUAAGGUCACACACCCGCCAGGUGAUGAGUUGGGGUUCAAGCCUGGAUCUUCCAUCUCAGGGGUCAGCCAACUUUUUCUGGAAAGGGCCACAUACUAAAUAUUUUAGGCGUUGCAGGCCGUGCAGUCUGUGUCACAGCUGUUCCACUCUGCUGUUGUAAUAAGAAAGCAUCCACAGAUAAUACGUAAAGGAAUGGACAUAGCUGUGUGUUCCAAUAAAACUUUAUUUACAAAAACAGGAAGUGGGCCAAGUUUGGCCCACAGGUUAUGGUUUGUCCACCCUUGUGGCAGAGGCCCAAAGCUGCCUUCCAAUUAGGAAGAACAUGGCCCUGGCAGUGUGAGUCACCUGGGAGGUGACUGAGUUACAUUUCAGAGCAGAGACCGCUGGCAUGCAGGGAGAGAGUGGAGGCGAGAGAGGACAUUUCCCAGAGGCAGGAGGCUGGAGCCCAGGGCUUCCUGGCAGGAGGGGUGGGGGAAGGCAUGAUUUUUUUUUUAAACAGUUUGAUUGAGAUAUAAUUCACUUACCAUACAAUUCACCCCUUUAAAGUGCAGAGUUCAUUGGCCUUGAGUAUAUUCACAGAGUUGUGCAACUGUCAUUAUAAUCAAUUUCAGAACAUUUUCAUCACCUCAAAAAGAAACCCUGUAACCUUUACAGCAGUCACCCACCCUAAUCGUUCUGUCUCUGUAGAUUUGCCUGUUCUGGAUAUUUCAUAUACAGUCACGUGUCGCUUAACGACAGGGAUACGUUCUGAGAAAUGUGUCAUUAGGUGAUGUCAUCAUUGUUCAAACAUCACAGAGUAUAGGUACACAAACCUAGAUGGCACAGCCCACUACACACCUAGGCUCUAUGGUACUGAUCUUACAGGCCCACCAUUGCAUAUGUGGUCUGUCAUUGACCAAAACAUCCUUAUGUGGUGCAUGACCGUAAAUGGAAUCAUACAGGAUGUGGUCCUUUGUGACUGGCUGGUUUUUUUCAAAUCUCUUUAUUGUUUUGUGUUUUUUUUGGUGAGGAUGCUUUGCCCUGAGCUAGCAUCUAUUGCCAAUCUUCCUCUAUUUUGUAUACGGGAUGCUGCCACAGCAUGGCUUGAUGAGCAGUGUGUAGGUCCGUGCCCAGGAUCUGUACCCACAAAUCCUGGGCCACUGAAGCAGAGCGUGCAAACUUAACCACAAUACCACCAGGGUCCCCUGGCUUUUUUCGCAUAGCGUUAUGUUCCCAAGGUUCAUCCAUAUUGUAGCACGUGUCAGAACUUCACUUCUUUAUAUGGCCGAAUAACACUCACGUUUUAUUUAUCCCUUUGUCACUUGAUAGACAUUUGGGUUGAUGAUAUUUUGGGCUAUUAUAAUAAUGCAGCUAUGAACAUUCAUGUGUGAGUUUUUGUGUGGCCGUCCAUUUUCAUUUCUCUUGAGUAUAUACCCAGGAGUGGAAUUGCUGGGUCAUAGGGCGACUCCAUUUUAACAUUUUGAGGAAGUGCCAGAGGCACGUUUUAUACUGUGUUUUUCAGCUUUGUAGGAUGGACUGAAAGUAGAGAAAAUACUGUGAGGAGCACCCCGUAGCCAUCAUCCAGGCUCAGCGAUGAUCGCCCUUCUUCUGGGCUUGUUUCACCCCCUCCCCUUCUCCACCGUUGUUACCCACUGAGUAGUUUGAAGCCGCUUCAAACCCUGCCCGUCUUGUUCGCUUGGCUCAGAGGUCAACUUUUGCUUUUGUUCCAAGUCGUCUACACCCAUAUUCUUGGGCAGAUGGAGUUUGGGGAGAAUGGAGGAGUUGGGGCAGAGUCGAGAGUGGGUCAGUGUGGGGUGGGAAAGGAAUAGCUCCUGAGUGAUGCAGGACGGGCUGUGUAAUUUACAAAAUGAAAAUACGGAGCCCUUUGUUCAGAAAUUAUCGAGAAGUGCAAGAUGACGACAGCAGAGCAGUAUACCAAACCUGGGCCCUGUGCACGGCCCAGGUCUCGUGCCCAUGAGGCCCGGCCAAAGGGUGCCCUAGCAGCACGGAUGUGUUGGACACAGGAAUGUAGAGCCGUGGGCAUCUGGGAGAGACAAGGACCCCUUACCCCCAAUCCCUGGAAACGUUCCAAGGAAAGUUUGGGUCUCCCAUGGCACUCGGGACAGGGUUCAAGCCCGUUUCAUUUGAAUCUCUAAAAAUAAGAUGACCCCAGCUGACAUGUGGGUUGUAAGUACUUUUAAAAAAUAGCCACUUGUCUUACUAAGCCUUCUUCCCUAAGAGCCUGCAGUUGUUUUAUUUGGCCACACCAUUUUGUCCUGGGCUCUGAGCGUGCUCGGGUGUCACAGCGAAUGACAGGCUGCGGUCUGCAGAACAGAGGGCUGCUGGUUAGCAACCAACGCGCAGCAGGGAUGCCCAGGAGAGGCAGGUGGCCCUGGCACAUCUUGGCAACCAGUGUGGCACCCAGCCCCUCCCAGACAGAGCUCCACUAGCCUUCUCCAAGGAUGGUCUCCACCAACCAGAGGAACCUUAGUUCCUGCGCUUAUCUAGACUCUCCACCCAAGAAUCCACCCAGAGACUCAGAGCCCACAGUGUGUUGGAAUGGCACCCAAGGAUGUACUUGCACUAACAGAACCUCGUCAUGAAGGGGUGUGCAACUCGACUGGGAAGGACGGGCGGGGACUCAGUGAGGAAGGCACAGACGAGGAUUUGCACUCCCCCCUGUUCUCCGCGGGGUUCUCAAUGAGUGAAGGAAUGUUCAUUCAUUCAUUCCGUUAUUUGAAUGCCUAUGGUACACGACGGGGCUGUAUGCCGGCCAUGAUCAAUACAGUAACCGACGAGACAGACCCAGUUCCUACUCUUAAGGCCGGGAGAGGCAAUCAUAAACCAAACAUGAACAACAAAACAUUUUAAAUUUGAUUAAAAUAAUGUAAUGAUUGCUAAAAACAACCACAGCCACAGGUCUGAGUAAACCUGCUCGCAGCUUCCGGGUUUGUAGACAGCCAGCGUGGAUCUCAAAGCAAAGCCCAAUUUAGGACUGAGGUCGGUCUCAGCAGUGAGCUUAGAAGCAGCAAAGCCAGGAGAAGGCUCCAGAGGAGGUAGGUGGCUCUGCUUUUUCUCUUAUUUUUCUGCCAGCACCUUCUACCCCACUUCCGGUAACAGACCUGACACCCAGUGGGCCUACGGCCAAAGAUGGCCACUCACGGCCUCCAUCCUGCUACAGUAAUUGGUCCAGGUGGGGACACGUGACCCAAUGUGGCCAAUCGCAGCAGCCCACCACUGAGCCGGGCCACAGUGAUUGGUCCAGUGUGGUCACGUGACCCAAGCGUGGCCAAUCCAGGAUGGUCCUUACUACAGCUGGGAAAAGGUUGCCGCUUUCUCCCUCAGCAUCCAGAGCUGCUUGUGACCCCAGAGACCCCAGGCACAAAGGGCGGGGGAGAUGAGAGAUAGGGUGGAGGGAGGGGAGUAGGAGAGAGGUGCGCUGCCCUGUGACCCCACAGCCUUCCAGCCCUGCGUCCAAGAGCAGCCCAGCUUCUCCCUUUCUUCACCGUAGCUCCCCGAGUGAAUUAAAUCCCCAUCUUGCCUCAGUCCGAUCAACUCUGGUUUCUGCGCGGCCCAACACGUCCCAGUUUAGGGCGUGGGACUGUUUCCCUCUUCGUGGAUUGUGUGAAACUAAAAGGGGUAGGUCAGCCUCAGAGCUCAUUCUCCCCGGGCUGUGCCUCCAGCACUUGAGAAUAAAAGCAUCGUCAGACACAUCUCCAUCCCCCCAUUAAUUUCCCACUGAAUCAGAGCUAAACACUUGCUCUUGGACUUCAGGUUCCACCCUAUUCCUGCUUGCCUCCGUCUCCCCAACCUCACCCCGAAAACACCCCCUUCUCCUCUUUGCUGCGCUCUCCACCAUGGGCGGAGCGUGCUGCUUGUCCCGGCCGCUGCUCCGAUGCCCCCCAUGUUAUAUUUGUAAUGAUUUUGUUUGACUGGUUUCCCCCAUGAGUGGGGACCUUGAGCAUGGGGACCCGGGCUUCCCCCAUCUUCGUACCCCCGGGUGCUGGCGCGCAGCAGGGAGACAGCAAGCGUGGGAGGGCGGGAGGCAGGGAAGGAUGGAGGAGGGGAGACAGGGGUGUUCAUUCCUGUUUAUUCUGGUCCAACCAGUGGUCCCUCGGAGGGUCAAGUUUAUAUUCGUUUCCUCUGCUGGAGACUCCCGCGUCAGGUAGACACAGAGCUGUUUCCCUCACUCCUUCAGGCCUCUACUCCAAAGUCACCUUCCCCCGGGAACUGCAUUCUCCCAGUCCCCUUCUCGACCCCUGUCCCUCUUCCAUGCUUUCUUGUCCUCUUUAGCACCCUCCACCACCAUCGCUCCUUCUCUGUGGUCCAUUUCUUUUACUUACUCUCUCUCUCACUGAAAUGUCAGCUCCAGGUGGACAGGCAUCUUUGUUUUCUUCUCUGCUGUCUGUAUCCUCAGCACCUAGAACUGUGCUUGUCACCCGGUAGACGCUCAGUACCUAUCUGUGGAAUGAAUGGAUGAAUGAAUGAAUGCUUUGUGUUCACCAAACCACAGUUCUAGCAAACUUGUUUCUUAAAGAACCUAUGCGCUCCAUGGAUUUUCCAGGUGUUAGGAAAGUCAGGUGACGUGUGAGUUUCCCAGGGCCGCUGUAGCAAAUUACUACACAUUGAGUGGCUUAAAACAACAGGAAUUUAUUAUUUCACAGUUCUGGAGGCUAGAAACCCAAAAUCUGGCGGGGCUGCACUGACCCCAGGGGCUCCGGGGGAAAAUCUGUUCCUUGCCUCUUCCAGCUUCCGGUGGCUCCAUGACUUGUGGGCACAUCACUCCAGUCUCUGCUUCUAUCUUCACACGUUCUUCUUCUCCCUGUGUCUGUCUGUGCUUCUGUCUUAGAAGAAGGCAUGUGAUUGCUUUUACUGCUUAUCCAGAUAACCCAGGACAAACUCCUCUCCAGAUCCCUAACUGGAUCACCUCUUUUGUCAUAUAAGGUCAUAUUCACGGGUUCCAGGAACUGGAAGGUGGGCAUACCUUUCUGUUUUUCACAUCUCUUUUUUCACAUUUCUCUUUCAAUCCAUCCAGCCCUUAGUGGUUAUUUGCAUAAAGACCAGAAAAGCAGAUUCCCACCACUACUGCAUUGGCCUCACAGAUAUUUAACAAAAAGAGUAUUAUUGUUGUAUUAUCUUGCUCGCAUCCGAGUGUGGAAAUGAUUUUUCAAACACCAUUUUAUGUUUUUUAUUUAUCCUGAUUUUUAAAAAUAAUACCGUGCUUAUGGUAAAUAAAAAAUAGUACAGAAGAGAAAAAUGUGGGAAAUAAAGGAGCGCCUUUGCAAUUUUUCUCGAACUCCAAUUUCACUUUCUGAAAAGUAGCUACUGUAUGCGGUUGGCAUAAUCGUCAUAAAUUUUCUAAGCAUUUUCGAGUGCCUGCACUUUCUCUGCUCAUAACGUUAAGAAAAUCGGGUGUGCUCCCAUAUAUCCUGAAGACACGACAGCCCUCAGACCCACCGCCUUCUUUUUAAAGCCUUGUAGCAUGGCACCAUACCCAACCUGUCCCUCACUGGCUGACGUUUCAGGUAACUCGAGGAUUUUGCUGUUAUAACAUAUAUAUUUUUUGGCAUGUGUCCAAGUAGACUUACAGGAUACAUUCCUAGAAGUGGUCUUUCUCAGUGAGAGGAUAGGUGCAUUUUUAAUUUCUACAGCGACUUCCCAGUGUUCUUCCAAAAGGUUGUAUCAUUCACACGCCCAUCAACAGUGUACGUGCUGUUUCCAGCACCCUCGCCCAACCUGGCAAGGACGCGGUGUGUCAGGGGAAGCAAAUCCUAAAUGAGGUAAGUGGACUUUCCCUGUGGCCUGGGUAGGGGUGGACAUGGCCUCCAAGGUUGUCCCUGUGGCUCUCUGAGGUGCUAAGCCGUCCAGAGCUCUCGUUAGUUUGGGUUUUAUAAACAAAGACAGAGUUUGGGGAGGUGAGCCAGAACCGUGCAGCAAGAAGCGUUAUGCAACUCAGUAUUUAUUUCUUUAGUGCAGUUAGAACUUAAAUAUGGUCAAAACAUAUUCUUCUUUUAAUUUACACAAACAAAUAUGUUCCCAGGCUGACACCUCGGGUGCCAAGUUUCUAGGGGAAACGAAAUUCUCCUCUGAGAUUAUAAACCACUAGAGAGAAGAUGGAAAUGGAAAAGCCACCGCGAGUCAGCUUCACACAUCCAGAACUGGGCUGCUAAGAGCUGUCUCUUUCUGUCUUAGCUGCGGAGAAACCUGCCAGUAAUUUCAGCAAAUGAAACGUGGGCCGCAGAAAGGCCAGAGGAUGGAAGAUGCUCCGGUUUUGACAAAAGGAGGUCUGCUCAGCUUGGAAUCCUCUCUCCUGUGAGUCAGGAGAUGGAAAGCUAUAUCCAGAGGGGCUGAUGAAUUGAGAGAAAAAGAAACGAGGCCAGUCCCCUGACUCAGCAGUGACACAUGAAUGAUGCUCCAUAAGUAGUCAUCCCAUGGACCAACCAAUGCCACCGUCACCUCCGACCCGGCCUCCAGCCGAAAUCACAGAAACCCUUUAUAGCCACCCUGACACCCAGUUCCCAUUUCAGACAGGCUGGUAUCCAUGAUGUCACGUGAUAGAAGAUGAUUCCAGAAAAAGACUGGUCAAGAGGCUCCUGGAGGGAGAGAUGGCAGCCAGGAUUGAGAGGUUUUUUUCUUUAUUAUACCUGUUCUGUCCACUAUUUCUUGGCUCUGUUCACAUUGCUGCUCUAGUACCAGCUCAGGGAAAAAACGAAACAAAACAUGAGCCCCAGAAUUUGAGACAAGAUAGCUGGUUGGUUUCCUCUCUGCUUGUAAUUUAAUGCUGGAAAUGUUCAUGACUUGCCUUGGCCGCAAAGGUAAUAAUAAAAGUCUGCAGCCUGAUUAUUUGGCUACUAAUUCCCUUCUUGGUGUUUUUCUUCCCCUUUCCUUAAAUUACUUCCAGAGUUCGUCCAGAUUUCUCGUUGCUAAGCUGUAAAGUUCCGGGCUUCGCAGCGCCCAUGCUGAUUGGCAGGGAGGCCCGGUCAGCUCCAAUCAGAAGCAGGUCGCCGAAAGGAGCAUCCACAACGCAGCUCGCCCCGGGGUUUUGGAAUUUUCUCGCUGACGUUAUGAACCGCAGAGGUCUUUGUCUAACUCUGCAAAACCUGUUCUCUUGAUCUUGUCUGCCUCUCUCUGGAGCGCAGGCUGUUGGGGGACGCCAGAGGUCCUGGAAUUUCCCCCGGAAGGAUGGGGAGUCCCUGGCUCACCGGUUUGGGCUCAGCGACAGAGAUGCCAGGGCCUGCUCGUGGUGGACCAUAGCCAACAGCGUGACGCUCUGCCACAGGCCGGUGAGAUGCCUCAGGCCCCCCAAAACUGACCUCUCCUCUCCCAGGCCAUCUUCUAAGCUUGGUGACUGGAGGAGGCUGAGGCAAAGGGGAUGCCACUGAAAGUGGGAUGGUUGGGGUGGAGACCACGUUUGUAAAGGACGUUAAAACACACAUGGAUGGUAGGGGCACGGUGGAGGGCCAUUCUGUGUUCCACCUCUAGAACCCCAAUGCAAAGAACCACUAUGAACUGAAACUUAUUUUUUAGACCACUCUAUUGAGGUACGACUGACUUACAAAAAGCUGUAUGUAUUUAGUGUCUACUACUUGAUGAGUUUGACAAUGAGUAGACACCCAGGAAACCAUCACCACGAUCUAUGCCAUAAACAUAGCCAUCACCUCCAGGAGUUUUCACCUGCCAUCUUUAUGAUUUUUAUUUUUGAUGAUAAGAACAUUUCACAUAAGAUCUACCCUUUUAACCAAAUGAGUAUAUGAUGCAGUGUUGUUAAUUAUCAUCACCAUGCUGAGUGUUAGAUCUCCAGCACUUAUUCAUCGGGUAUAAUUGAAACUUUGCACCCCUUGACCAAUAUCUCUGCCUUUCUCCCUCCUCCCAGCCCCUGGCAGUCCCCAUUCUACUCUCUGCUUCUACGAGUGUGACUAGUUUAGAUUCCUCAUAUAAAUGGACUCAUGUAGUAUUUGUCCUUCUGUGACUGGCUUAUUUCACUUAGCAUCAUGUCCUCCAGCUUCAGCCAUGUGUCCACGGAUGACACGAUUUCCUUCUUUUCUAAGACUGAGUAGUAUUUCAUUGUGUGUAUAAACCACAUUUUCUUUAUCCAUUCAUCCACCGAUGGACACUUAGGUUGCUACCAUGUCUUGGCUAUUGUGCCAGAAAUUGUACACACACAUCUGCUCCCAUCUCAAAACACCCAUUGGACAGACUGAGAAUGUGAUGGGCGUCUGCUGGUUUUGCUGCUGCUGCUUCCCUCUUUCACUAACGGAGAAGGCCUGCCACAGGGCAAGUCAUGUGACCCAGGCCUGGUCACAGUGAUUGGCUCUGGGGUGGGCACAUGAACAAGCUGGGCCAAUCAGAAUCUUCCUUGAGACUUUACUACCAGAACUAUAGGAAAAGUCUCCCUUCCUGCCCCUGGAUUUGCUGAGCUGGCGACCACAAUGAACACACGUGGAAGGUGACUGAGGGAGAUAUGAAGUCCCUGCAACAAGGCUUGAGCCCCAGGUGCAGCCCAGCCUUAGGGGAAGUCAGAUCCACUCCCUGGAUUUUAGUUACAGGAACAGUAAGUGCUUUGUUUAAGCCAAUUUGCCUGUGUGUCUGUUGCUUCUAACUGGCAGAGUGUAAUACAGACAUGCACUUUCUCGUUGCCGUGCGUGGCUCUGGGUUAGGCAAUUUGCAUAUAGUCCCACACAGGGGCCUCCUUAUCACCUGGUGUGGUAUUCCACUUUGCAGAUGGGGAAACUGAGGCUCAGAAGGGUGACUGCCCAGAUAAUACUGCCAGUGUGUGUUCAGGCAUUCAAACCUGGGCCGUCUAAUUGCUGGAUUCCUUGGUGGCCCCUCAAAUUCAACUUGUCCAAAACUGAAUUCAAGAGCCUCCCCUCUAGGGUCCUUCCCUCCGGGGUCCCGCAUCCUAGGGGUAGCCCCUCCCACAAACUAGUGGUGCUAACCAGAAACCAGGUGUCACCCCUGAGCCCUCCGCGCCCCUCACUCCCACAUCCAAGCCUCACUAAGUCCUGCCUGUCGACCCCCUCCGCAGCCCCAGAAGCAGUUUACUUCUCUCCCUGUCCACCUCUCCACCCCUGCCCAGCUGCCCUCAUCUCUCAAAACUUUGACCUUCGAGAACUGCCUGCCACCUGGUCCUCGCAUGUCUAUUCUUACCCCUCUACUCCGAUAGGGCUCCCCUUGGCGACCAGAGGAGUUGUCUCAAAAUGCCAAGCUGACCUCAUUGCCUUGCUGGAGGAGGCUGGGUGAUGAUCUGAUGGAACACGUUUGCCUCCGGGGAUGUUCUGAGAAUCGUGCAACCCCUUGGUCCCACCCGAUAUUCAGGCACAAAGUCAGCAAGCCUGGGAGCUGGGGAGCACGCAGCUCCCUGCAUCCGCAGCUGUCCCAUCGUUUAUUCCACAAAGAGUUUCUAGUGCCUCACAGGCACUGUCCCCUCUGCUGGGGCUCCAGAGGUGACCAACAGCAACCUGAGCGAAACUCACAGUGUGCUCGCCGCGGACCGGGUCCUGCACUCCGCGCUUCUCGCCCAUCCACUCGCUUGCUCCUCCAGCAGCCCCACAAAGCAGUGACUGUUAUUAAUCCCAUUUUAUAGAUGAGAAGGAAAAGGUGCCAGUUCUCAUGAAGCUUAUAUGCUUGUGAGGGAGAUCGACAAAAACAAGUUACACACACACAUGCACACACGCAGGCAUGCACAGACGUGACAUAAUUCAGAAAGUGAUGGACCAAGGGUGAUUCUUGGACUCAGUCCAGAGGCUUCCAGAUGCCUCCUUCUCAACUUGUAGCCUGUAACCUGUGCCAGGCCCAGGGCAAGAGUAGAAAUGGAAAGCUACCUACUGUAGGUCUACAGAUUUAAAAGUCAUAAAUCAGGUACAGGCACCCAGCCCCAAAGUUCAAGUUCUGUCCUGAGCCCCCCCAGACAGCUGCUCCUGAGCACCCCCUUAGGUUUAGGGGUGCACACACUGGGAAGCCAGUCUGCUCUCAGCAGGGCAGGUCUAGAGGAGACCCCUGAGCAGGCUUUGGAAACGGCCCAGUGCUGCUGGGGCAGGGAAUCCUGGAGUCCCGGACUCUCUCCAUCCCUACCUGUCCUCUGCCUUACCUCCCAUACUGGGUUGGUGUCCCCCCAAAAUCGAUGUCCACACAGAACCUCGGAAUGUGACCUUACUUGGAAAUAGGGUCUUGGCAGAUGUCGUGAAGAUAAGAUGAGGUCAUUCGAGGUUAGCAUGGGCCCUAAAUCCAAUGACUGGUGUCCUCGUAAGAAGAGAAGACACAUGCAAGGAGAAGGCCAUGUGAAGAUGGUGGCAGCGAUUGGAGCGAUGCAGCUACAAGCCAAGGAACGCCAAGGAUUACAGGAAGCCACAGAAGCUGGAAGAGGCCAGGAAGGAUUGUCCCGUAGAGCCCUCGGAGGGAGCACAGCCCUGCUGACACCUUGGUCUGGACUUCUAGCCUCCAGAGCUGUGAGAGGCUAACUCUCUGUUGUUUUCUACACCAGGUUUGCGGUUGUUUGUCACGGCAGCCCCAGCAAACGACUGUACUUCCCUGGGCCCUCCCCACCCUGCCCUCCCCCACACCCAGUGUCAGGCUGCUGCAGGAAAAAACAUCACAAGCAGGUGGUCACAUUCCCCACCUCCUCACAAUUCACCUGGCCAACGUCAGAGCCGGAACACUCUUACAGGCCAUCUUUCCCAAGAAGAUCAGCUCCACCUUUGCCCAGGGCAGCUCUGGGGACAGGCUCUGGCUCCAAGGGGUAGGCCGGGUCCCUGAAGCAGGACCUCAGGGGAGGCAGGCUCUGGGGAGCCCCUCUCCGCUGUCCACCCUGGCAGGCGCCCAGGGGAAUGUGUGUCAACAGACUCUUGUGCUGCAACCACAUGUGGUUUGCUGCUUAGCUUUCCACUGGGAAGCUUGGCUGUGUUUGUCACAAUGGUUAGUGUUCGGUUACGUUUAACCAAGGCUGUGGAGGUAGGGAGUUAGAGUGAGCUGUAUAUAAUCUCUUGUGCACAAAGCCCACGGUAGAAUUGCCUGACCUUCCCUCCCUUCCCAAAUACACAUGACAAAAAGUAAACUGAGAAAGAGGUCAGGUCUCUUUAGAAAUCAGAGUGUUUGAACUCAAUAGCAAAGAGCUGCUGUUUAUUCUAAACUCCAUGAAAUGAGGUGACCUCUCAUCACCAGGUAAGUCAUUGGGACUAUAGGCUUUUUGAAUGCCAAAAGCCAUUCAUUCAUCCACCCAUCCACCCACCCACCCACUUAUCCAUCCAUCACACACCCACCUAUCCAUCCAUCCAUCCAUUUAUCCACCAUCCAUCCAUUCAUCCACCCACCUAUCCAUCUAUCCCAUCCAUCCGUCUAUCCACCAUCCAUCCAUCCAUCUAUCCACUAUCCAUCCAUUCAUCCACCAACGUAUCCAUCCUUCCAUCCAUCCAUCCAUCCACCAUCCAUCCAUUCAUCCACCAACCUAUCCAUCCAUCCAUCCAUCCAUCCAUCCAUCCAUCCAUCAAUCCUUCUGUCCAUCUAUCCAUCCAUCCAAUAUUUGAUAAGUUCCCAUUAUAGUUACUGUAAUGAUAUUAAUAACAGUGGUUCCUAUUCAGUGGCUACUUCCUAAGAGAUAGGCUGUGUACUAAGCACUUUGCAUGCAUCAUCUGUUUAAUUCUGACAAACAAUUCUAUAAAACAGAUGCCAACCCACCCAGUUCCCAGAGGGAAAAAGUGAGGCACAGAGAGUUUAGGUCACUGGCCUAAGACUUCAGAGCCUACUGUGGUAGAUUAAAUAUGACCAGAAGUUCCUUGCUGUUCUCCUGCCAAGGGGUGGAGUCUAUUUCUCCACUCCCCUAAAUCUAGGCUGGUCUCAUGACUUGCUUUGACUAAUAGAAUGUGCCAGAAGUAGUGUUGUGCAAGCUCCAAGCCCAGACCUCAAGGAGCCUGGCAGCUUCUGUCUUUGCUGACUUGGAAUGCUGACCGGAUGUUGGUCUCACCUAGUGGAAGAUGAGAGGCCUCAUGAAGGAGCACUGAGGCCACCCAGCCAACAGCCAGCUGCCACACAUAUGAGGAAAGCCAUCUGGACCUUCCAGCUGAGUGCGCCCAGGCAUGACCAGCAGAGGAAGCACUCAGCUAACCUAUGAAGUCAUGGAAAAUAAUAAAUUGUUGUUUUAAGCCA